GCUGCGGCCACGAGGUCUCGAAUGGGGGAGGGGUGGGGAAGAAUAGUCCCUGCGCUGCGUUUCCCUCUCGUUGGAGCUGAGCGAUAGAGGUUAAGAUUGCUGUCGAUCGUGCCGGAGUCUUUCAGCGUCUUUUAAAAUAAGAUGUGGAUCUAAUGCUUGUGGAUUUUUCAACUUUAUUUUCUUACUAAUUUUCACCCAUACAUUGUUGGUCUUUUAAACUCCACUAGUAUUGCUUGGCUAUCUGUGGUUUUUUGAUGACUGUAAUUGACUUUAUAAAGGGGUUGGAAAAGCACAAAUUUAAAUAUGGAUCUGGACAGUGGUAGUAAAUUUGUGUUUUUUCCCUUUCCCUCCCAUCCCAGUCAUUCAUACACGUGGACCUAACUGCGCCAAGAGCUUUUCCUAAGGAUAGUUGCUGAAAACGAAGUUUUCGCAAGUGGUAAAUGAAACAUCCCUAUUGAGGUAAUACGGGAAGCAGCAACAAAUACCAAAGUGAUUUACCUGUAUUAAUAAUUUAGUGUCUAUGGCAUCUGUAUUUGUAUCCUAAUUUCACCAUUGAGGAAGUGAAAUCAGCAAAAUUUCUUUGCAAGAAGAAUAUAAAACUGAUCCAGCAACAGCAGGUCCAGUCUGCACACCAUCAUACUCGGAGCUCUGCCAGCAUCUCUUCCUCUGACCUGCCUCCCUCUUCCACUUUUAAGGAUCUUGUGAUUUCAUUGAGCCCACCCAGAUAUCCCAGACUAAUCAUUUUAAGGUCAGCUGAUUAGCAGCCUGAAUUCCAUUUGCUGCCUUAAUUCUCCUUUACCAUAUAAAUUUAUAUUCACAGGGAUUAGAAUGAAAGAUAUUUUGGUGCCCAUUCUGCCUUUCACACCUUCUGGAAUUAGGUCACUUGGGAAUAUUAUGCUCUGGGCCCGCAUAACUACUUGGGAUUUUAUUCAGACUGAGCUUAAGUAAAAUUAAGAAAAAUACAAUUCAGUGAGACAAAAUAGAACAAACUCAGCUUUCCCUUGCGUUACUUAAAUGCCAGUUUAUAGAGGUUCUAAGAAUAAUUCAUAAAUACAAUAACAAGUUGUAAUCCUUUUUCUGAGUUAAACAUUUUCUCUGGAAAGGCUCAUAGUAUUAUAAACCUAUUAUAGAAAAACUAAAGAACUAGUAGGUUA